rnacentral:rRNA from 1 species
GAUGAACGCUGGCGGCGUGCCUAAUACAUGCAAGUCGAGCGAACAGAUGAGGAGCUUGCUCCUCGGACGUUAGCGGCGGACGGGUGAGUAACACGUGGAUAACCCACUUAUAAUACUGGUAUAACUUCGGGAAACCGGAGCUAAUACCGGAUAAUAUAUUGAACCGCAUGGUUCAAUAGUGAAAGACGGUUUUGCUGUCACUUAUAGAUGGAUCCGCGCCGCAUUAGCUAGUUGGUAAGGUAACGGCUUACCAAGGCAACGAUGCGUAACCGACCUGAGAGGGUGAUCGGCCACCCUGGAACUGGGCCACGGUCCAGACUCCUACGGGAGGCAGCAGUAGGGAAUCGUCCGCAAUGGGCGAAAGCCUGACGGAGCAGCGCCGCGUGAGUGAUGACAGUCUUCGGAUCGUAAAACUCUGUUAUUAGGGAAGAACAAAUGUGUAAGUAACUAUGCACGUAUUGACGGUACCUAAUCAGAAAGCCACGGCUAACUACGUG